GCUGAUAAAGAGCUGCUAAUACUGUUAGCUUUGAUUUGAUAGUUUCAUAAGCUUAUGAAUCAGAACAUAGAUGUAACUUGGAAACACCCUUUGCCAGAACCAUUAAACCUGCAGGAGACCCCAGGCAUCCAGCUUACUCCUGGGCCAUGACUAGAACAGACUCCUGGAUUCUCUGAACUUGGAAGUAUAAGCAUCUUGGGUUCACUUGUGAGUAGCACCAACCAAUGAAGACUUGCCAGAAUGCCACCUCAGAGAGACACGUGGAUUCUGGCUGGGCAGAGAGGAAACCUUGUUAAUUGUUGCUGCCAACUGUCAUUUUAUAUGGAAGCUGUUGCUGAAUUACAAAAUUAUGAUGCAUUAACCCACUCUCACCACCCCAACCCCCAAAUCUUGACAACCAGCCCUCCCACUACUUACAUAUUCUUUUCCAUUCCAGUUAUAGAGAGAACUACUUCCCCGCUUUGACUCUAUAACAUAGGUUAAAUCCUAUUUGGCAUCCUAAAGUCACCCAUCUACUAGACACAAAAGGAAACUUGGUUUCCAAGUUCAGUUACCUCAGUGGGAGCAUGUCAAAGUCCCAGACAAGCUGUCAAAUUGCCUGCUGAUGCUGUUUGAAAUUCGCAAUUGGGUACAUUUUUACUCUCAGAAAUAAUAUAACCCAUUCCACCCAGUGAUAUGCGAUGCUCACUGUUGGAUUCGGGGCUUUUCUGAACCUUUAUAAGCAGAAUCACAGAAUCUCAGAGCUGAAAGAGACAUCUCAGACUAUCUCAUCCAACCUAUCCCUGAACAGGAAUUCCCCCUAUAGCAUUUCCAACCACUAGCCAUCUAGUUUCUUCUUGAAGCUAUUUGGGAAUGUGGAUCUCACCCUUUCCCAAGGCAGCACAUUCUCUUUGCAUGUAAUGAUGCUUGCUUUCAAUUAUUCACUAAUUGUUUUCAACAUGGCAUAGAUCUAGAAGGAGACAUUCUGACAUAUGUCAGACCACGGGGACCACCGCAUGACAACAAUAUACAUUCUGGUAAAUGGGAAAGCCAGUCAGAGUUCCAACUGUCAAGCCCUGGCCACUUCCACUGGGUAAUGGAACAAGUCACAGACUCUUGUCAUCCGCAUGUCCUCACACACGAGCAUCAUGUCCUGCUGGUUGAAGCUCCUUCUGCCUCCCCCAAGUUCUUCAGUUUGUCACCUAGUGACUAUGCUUUAUGUCCUGUGAUUACUGACGUUUUAACAUCUUUCACAGAAGAGACGUAGACCAGUAAAAGUGAUUAAAUAACUAAGUGGACCUUG